rfam:Schistosoma rodhaini strain Burundi genome assembly, scaffold: SROB_scaffold0010901
AUCCAGAUAACGAGUCCCGAAUAGGAUGAAACGCGCGUCGAACUGGAU